rnacentral:tRNA from 1 species
UUUACUGUGCCGGAACUUAACGGAUCACUUUGAUGUAGUGAAAUAUGGGAUUAUUCUCCGGUGUGC